AGAGUUUGAUCCUGGCUCAGGACGAACGCUGGCGGCGUGCUUAACACAUGCAAGUCGAACGGUAAGGCCCUUCGAGGUACACGAGUGGCGAACGGGUGAGUAACACGUGGGUAAUCUGCCCUGCACAUCGGGAUAAGCCUGGGAAACUGGGUCUAAUACCGAAUAGGACCACAGAACACAUGUCCUGUGGUGGAAAGCUUUUGCGGUGUGGGAUGGGCCCGCGGCCUAUCAGCUUGUUGGUGGGGUGAUGGCCCACCAAGGCGACGACGGGUAGCCGGCCUGAGAGGGUGUCCGGCCACACUGGGACUGAGAUACGGCCCAGACUCCUACGGGAGGCAGCAGAAGGG
rnacentral:rRNA from 1 species